rnacentral:rRNA from 1 species
UGUAGGCUGCAACUCGCCUACAUGAAGUCGGAAUCGCUAGUAAUCGCGGAUCAGCAUGCCGCGGUGAAUACGUUCCCGGCCUUGUACACACCGCCCGUCACACCAUGAGAGUUUGUAACACCCAAAGCCGGUGGGGUAACCUUUUGGAGCCAGCCGUCUAAGGUGGGACAGAUGAUUGGGGUGAAGUCGUAACAAGGUACC